rnacentral:lncRNA from 1 species
GUGGAAAAAAUUCUGGAAACUCGCUCCAGAGUUUUGGCGACGGAAAUUGGCGUGAGUGUGUGAUAUGUUUUUUAAAAGAUACGUUUUUUAUCGCAAAAUUAUUGGAUCAGUCCUCAGCUUUGUGACGUUGCACCUAGAGUGCAAGUCACAACAAACCCCAAACCCGCGGGGAAGAGCCGAACGGGUGAGUCCUGUCCCGUCGGAAAAGGCCCGAACGUAACCAAAGCCCCCCGACGCUCGGCAGAGCCGAGCGCCAGCAGCAGUACGAUCACGGCCGUGACAGCAUCCAGACCAGAGCAGCCUAGGCUACGAGCGAAAGAGAGAGAGAAAGAAAGAACGAGAGAAACCACCACACUCACACCGACACCCCGCUACACGCACGCCGACGACCCCCGGAACCAGCGAGACCCAGCCACACGCCACCGCACCUCGACACACACACACACACACGCACCGACCACACCAGAAACACAACAUGGAAAAGCAGCAACCAAAAAUACCGGCCCUGAUGACACUGCGACUGACGAGACCGACGACAACGACAACACAGACAGAAAGAACACCACUAUUGCAAACACCAGGACAGGCCCCACACCCACACAGAUACGGACGCGACGGCACACACCAGACUGAGACCCGACGAACCCUACUACCGACACCCACCACAUACAUACAGGUAACACAGACCACCACAACAACAACACACAUAACAACCACUGCACCCACAGCCACACAGAGACACUCACAAACACACACACCGAUGACCACACACA